rnacentral:rRNA from 1 species
AUUGAACGCUGGCGGCAGGCCUAACACAUGCAAGUCGAGCGAGCGGCGGACGGGUGAGUAAUGUCUGGGAAACUGCCUGAUGGAGGGGGAUAACUACUGGAAACGGUAGCUAAUACCGCAUACCAUCAGAUGUGCCCAGAUGGGAUUAGCUAGUAGGUGGGGUAACGGCUCACCUAGGCGACGAUCCCUAGCUGGUCUGAUAGGAUGACCAGAAAAACUGGAACGGAGACACGGUCCAGAAUCAUACGGGAGGCAGCAGGGGGGAAUAUUGCACAAUGGGCGAAAGCCUGAUGCAGCCAUGCCGCGUGUGUGAAGAAGGCCUGCGGGUUGUAAAGCACUUUCAGCGGGGAGGCGUUAACCGCAGAAGAAGCACCGGCUAACUCCGUGCCAGCAGCCGCGGUAAUUC